rnacentral:rRNA from 1 species
UAAUACGGAGGGUGCAAGCGUUAUCCGGAUUUACUGGGUUUAAAGGGUGCGUAGGUGGGUCUGUAAGUCAGUGGUGAAAUCUUCGAGCUUAACUCGGAAACUGCCAUUGAUACUAUAGGUCUUGAAUUAUCUGGAGGUGAGCGGAAUAUGUCAUGUAGCGGUGAAAUGCUUAGAUAUGACAUAGAACACCAAUUGCGAAGGCAGCUCACUACGGAUUUAUUGACACUGAGGCACGAAAGCGUGGGGAUCAAACAGGAUUAGAUACCAUGGUAGUCCACGCCCUAAACGAUGGAUACUCGACAUACGCGAUACACUGUGUGUGUCUGAGCUAAAGCAUUAAGUAAUCCACCUGGGAAGUACGACCGCAAGGUUG